rnacentral:rRNA from 1 species
UACGUAGGGCGCAAGCGUUGUCCGGAUUUACUGGGCGUAAAGAGCGCGUAGGCGGCUCGUUAAGUGUAGAGUGAAAUCUCUGGGCUCACCCCAGAAACUGCUCUGCAUACUGGCGAGCUGGAGUGAUGAAGAGGUUUGUGGAAUUCCUGGUGUAACGGUGAAAUGUGUUGAUAUCAGGAGGAACACCCAUGGCGAAGGCAGCAAACUGGUCAUCAACUGACGCUGAGGCGCGAAAGCGUGGGUAGCAAACAGG